rnacentral:misc_RNA from 1 species
AAAGUCGUAACAAGGUUUCCGUAGGUGAACCUGCGGAAGGAUCAUUAUUGAAUAAACCUGAUGUGGUUGUUGCUGGCUCUCUAGGGAGUAUGUGCACGCCCGUCAUCUUUAUAUUUCCACCUGUGCACCUUUUGUAGACCCAGAAGAUUUGAGCAAUCAAGUCGUUUGGGCCUAUGUCUUAUCAUAUACCCCAUAGUAUGUAUUAGAAUGUAUCAGUGGGCUUCGUGCCUAUAAACACUAUACAACUUUCAGCAACGGAUCUCUUGGCUCUC